UAUGUAUAUACAGUGUGUAUGUAUAUACAGUAUGUAUAUGUAUAUAUGUGUGUAUAUACACACACAUACACACACACAC
rnacentral:miRNA from 1 species